GCUAGCGUGGUGUAGUGGUUUGAGCAUUGGACUAUGACUCAAGAGACCAGGGUUCGAUUCCUACGCAGCC